rnacentral:rRNA from 1 species
UGGGGAAUUUUGGACAAUGGGGGAAACCCUGAUCCAGCCAUCCCGCGUGUGCGAUGAAGGCCUUCGGGUUGUAAAGCACUUUUGGCAGGAAAGAAACGUCAUGGGUCAAUACCCCGUGAAACUGACGGUACCUGCAGAAUAAGCACCGGCUAACUACGUGCCAGCAGCCGCGGUAAUACGUAGGGUGCAAGCGUUAAUCGGAAUUACUGGGCGUAAAGCGUGCGCAGGCGGUUCGGAAAGAAAGAUGUGAAAUCCCAGAGCUCAACUUUGGAACUGCAUUUUUAACUACCGGGCUAGAGUGUGUCAGAGGGAGGUGUAAUUCCGCGUGUAGCAGUGAAAUGCGUAGAUAUGAGGAGGAACACCGAUGGCGAAGGCAGCCUCCUGGGAUAACACUGACGCUCAUGCACGAAAGCGUGGGGAGCAAACAGG